rnacentral:rRNA from 1 species
AGUGAACGCUGGCGGUAGGCCUAACACAUGCAAGUCGAACGGCAGCACAGUAAGAGCUUGCUCUUACGGGUGGCGAGUGGCGGACGGGUGAGGAAUACAUCGGAAUCUACUUUUUCGUGGGGAUAACGUAGGGAAACUUACGCUAAUACCGCAUACGACCUACGGGUGAAAGCAGGGGAUCUUCUGACCUUGCGCGAUUGAAUGAGCCGAUGUCGGAUUAGCUAGUUGGCGGGGUAAAGGCCCACCAAGGCGACGAUCCGUAGCUGGUCUGAGAGGAUGAUCAGCCACACUGGAACUGAGACACGGUCCAGACUCCUACGGGAGGCAGCAGUGGGGAAUAUUGGACAAUGGGCGCAAGCCUGAUCCAGCCAUACCGCGUGGGUGAAGAAGGCCUUCGGGUUGUAAAGCCCUUUUGUUGGGAAAGAAAAGCAGCAGGUUAAUACCCCGCUGUUCUGACGGUACCCAAAGAAUAAGCACCGGCUAACUUCGUG